rnacentral:misc_RNA from 1 species
GAAAUGCGAUAAGUAGUGUGAAUUGCAGAAUUCAGUGAAUCAUCGAAUCUUUGAACGCACAUUGCGCCCCUUGGUAUUCCAUGGGGCAUGCUUGUUCGAGCGUCAUUUGUACCUCAAGCUUUGCUUGGUGUUGGGUGUUUGUCCUUUCUUUGCGAAUGGACUCGCCUUAAAUUUAUUGGCAGCCAAUAUACUGGUUUGAAGCGCAGCACAAUUUGCGAUUCUUUCUAGCAUUAUUGCAUCCAUUAAGCAUCUUUAACACUUUUGACCUCGGAUCAAGUAGGGAUACCCGCUGAACUUAA